rnacentral:misc_RNA from 1 species
GGAGAAUUCACUCUUCCAUCAUGAAUAUAAACAUUAGAAGCUUCUUGCGGAAAUGCUCAUAUACAAGGUCAUCUUAUGGACAACUAUAGUGAGGGGGCUCGAUUAAUUAUAGAGAACCCGGCUUUUGAGAAUCCAAUGCCACCUAACGUUCUUGAUCGGGUAAGGGUGGAAUCCACAAGCAUCUUAUCAGGUACCUUGGCAGAUGGUGUAGAUAUCUUUGCUUCUGCUGGUGUGGCUGUAACUAAGGUUAAAAAUGAGAUGUUUGAUGACUUCGAUGAAGAUCUUGAUCAUGUUUUAUUGAUAGAGCGACUAAGGAUGCUGCUUUCAAGGUUCCACAUUUUCUUGGCGAGCAUUGGGUUCGACAAAUCAACAUGUGGAGGGUGGUUCUGGUAUGCCGUCGGGAGAACUUCUACAAUGCUUCCUCAAACAGAG